CCUUCUCUUAUCGUUCGGUAUCCCACGAAGAUUCGACGAGGGACAUCGAGAAACGAUUAAAGUAAUUACAGACCGGAUCGAGUCUCGUCGUCAGCAUUCGUUGAUUCGUCGCACGAGGGAAGAAAGAUACAACUGAAGAUGUUUCUGUACACGUUUUAAGUGUGACAAGUGGUUAAAUGGAAGAGAAACCUAUGCCGUAUUAAUGAAAAAAAAAACAGUCUUCUUUUCAGAGAGUUCUUUUUCGAAAUUGACCGUUCGAGAUAAUCGUCUUUCAUUUUUUCGUGUUCUAAAAAUAUGAGAAGAAGGACCUGUAAUUUAAUUCGUAGUUUCUAUGCAAAUCUUGAUUCUUAAUUUAAAUGUCAAAGGCGCUGUUUAGCAAAAAAAAAAAA